GACUGACACUCCCUCGAGUUGGCC
rnacentral:siRNA from 1 species